GUACACUCCUGCGGGAGGCAGCAGUGGGGAAUUUUGGACAAUGGGCGAAAGCCUGAUCCAGCCAUGCCGCGUGCAGGAUGAAGGCCUUCGGGUUGUAAACUGCUUUUGUACGGAACGAAACGGCCUUUUCUAAUAAAGAGGGCUAAUGACGGUACCGUAAGAAUAAGCACCGGCUAACUACGUGCCAGCAGCCGCGGUAAUACGUAGGGUGCACGCGUUAAUCGGAAUUACUGGGCGUAAAGCGUGCGCAGGCGGUUAUGUAAGACAGUUGUGAAAUCCCCGGGCUCAACCUGGGAACUGCAUCUGUGACUGCAUAGCUAGAGUACGGUAGAGGGGGAUGGAAUUCCGCGUGUAGCAGUGAAAUGCGUAGAUAUGCGGAGGAACACCGAUGGCGAAGGCAAUCCCCUGGACCUGUACUGACGCUCAUGCACGAAAGCGUGGGGAGCAAACAGGAUUAGAUACCCCUGUAGUCCCAUG
rnacentral:rRNA from 1 species